rnacentral:rRNA from 1 species
CCUACGGGUGGCAGCAGUGGGGAAUAUUGGACAAUGGGGGGAACCCUGAUCCAGCGACGCCGCGUGAGUGAAGAAGUAUUUCGGUAUGUAAAGCUCUAUCAGCAGGGAAGAAAAUGACGGUACCUGACUAAGAAGCCCCGGCUAACUACGUGCCAGCAGCCGCGGUAAUACGGAGGGGGAAAGCGUUAUCCGGAUUUACGGGGUGUACGGGGAGCGUAGACGGUGCAGCAAGUCUGAUGUGAAAGGUCGGGGCCCAACCCUGGGACUGCAUUGGAAACUGUUGAACUGGAGUACAGGAGAGGUAGGCGGAAUUCCUAGUGUAGCGUUGAAAUGCGUAGAUAGUAGGAGGAACACCAGUGGAGAAGGCGGCUUACUGGAGUGUAACUGACGUUGAGGCUCGAAAGCGUGGGGAGCAAACAGGAUUAGAUACCCUGGUAGUC